GUCGUCGUAGUGUUCUGAAGGAUUGCUGUGCCAUAGAUGAUAACACCUUGUUGCCGCCAGAGACAGUUGUUCCACCUUUCACACUGUUUUCAGGUUCUCCAGGGGUAUUUACUGCUGAGCUGCCUGAGUGCAUGCAAGAAAUCAUGACAGACAUAACAAGAAACUACUACCAACACUUUCUCCCCCUGAAAGACGACAGCACAGCAAAACAAGAUAAGCCAGUCAGCAGGUAGCGCUAGUUAGAAUCUAGUCUAUAUCAGAUACAUAGCCAGUAUUUGCCAAGCGGAAUGAUGUGUAUGCAUGUAUAUCGUAUGCAAAAAGCAGGCUGUUGGUAAUUCUUCAUUAGGACAUUUGGUCAAGUGUGGUGUACCUACCCUGGGGCCACACCUAGCUAUGUGCCUGAAAAUUUACAAGUACGCUGCAAGCGUACACUCAGAAUAUGAAUGUGGCCUGGUGAACACUGUUCCUUGUGCCCAGUCUUGAGACCUGGACACAACCUAGAGGGCCUGGUACUCAGGCUAACUCAAACACUGCAUCGUCGAGAGUAUGUUAUACAUGGUUUGAAACACCUGGAAAUGCUUUGUUGACCUUCUCGGGGCUUCUCGCACUCAAUCCCUACAGUUUCUUUACCACAGAUGACAUUUCUGUAGCCUUUCUCCGAACAUAAUACCAGCAAAUUUACCAGACAGGCCAGAAGGCAAAAUCCAGUAAAGUAGGGAACAGCUAGAAAAAUACAAACAAAUGCCGAUCUCCAAGUCGUUUCAUUUUUAAUGUAAUCCUCAAGAGGGACAAAAUCACCAAAGCCGAUGGUAGUAAAAGUGAUAAACCAAGCGUAAAAACUG